rnacentral:lncRNA from 1 species
ACCACGUCAAGAGCUUCACUUUGAACUGAUCAAUUUCUCAAUAUCAUUCCGGUAAGUGGUCUUUUUGUUUCCCUCCGCCAUUUUGAUACCUAUGGUUUGGGGUUCUACUGAUUUCAUGCUGUUAGAGCUGUCCUCAUUCUAAUUUCUGUAAAGUCAUAACUCUAAGAACUAUUUUCUACCGCCAAUAUAGGGUUUAUAGGUGUUGUUGUGUUUUGUCUGGGUGAGACUCCGUUAGGGUGUCUUCAAACUAGUUGUACUUUGAGAAACCCAAGUAAGGGGAGCUAAUUAUUUUGUAUGAAUUUAUUUUAUAAAGAUUGUCAACACCCAAUUUCGUCCAGGUGACCAAAUAAUAGGACUUGAUUUUUGUUGUUGUCUUAUUUCAUUAUUUUGUUAUUUUAAAAAGACAAAAAAGAAACAAAGAAGAAAAAAAAAAAAGCAAGCAAAAUUUUUUUUUUUAAAAAAAAAAAGGGAAAAAGAAAAGAAAAAAGAGCAUGAAAA